UACCCGCACUCCGAGUGAUGGCCACGAUUAUUGGGCCUAAAGCGUUCGUAGCCGGUUUGGUAAGUCCUUGGUGAAAUCUUCCAGCAAACUGGAAGGCGUGCUGAGGAUACUGCCAGACUUGAGACCGGGAUGGGGCAGGGGUACUUUCAGGGGAGGGGUGAAAUCCUGUAAUCCUGAGGGGACCACCUGUGGCGAAGGCGCCUGCCUGGAACGGGUCUGACGGUGAGGGACGAAAGCUAGGGGAGCAAUCGGGAUUAGAUACCCCGGUAGUCCUAGCUGUAAACGUUGCCCUCUUGGUGUUGCAAGCUUCUCGGGAGCUUGCUGUGCCGGAGCGUAGGUGUUAAGAGGGCCGCCUGGGAAGUAUACUCGCAAGGGUGAAACUUAAGGGAAUUGGCGGGGGAGCACACAAGGGGUGGGCGUUGCGGUUCAAUUGGAUUCAACGCCGGAAAUCUUACCAGUGCCGACAGCAGGAUGAAGGUCAGUCUGAAGGGCUUACCUGACAAGCUGAGAGGUGGUACAUGGCCAUCGCCAGCUCGUACCGUGAGGCGUGCGCUUAAGUGCGUUAACGAGCGAGACCCACGUCUAAUGUUGCUAAUCUGUUCUUCGGAAUGGAUGCACUCAUUGGAGACCGCUAGUGAUAAAUUAGAGGAAGGAGUGGGCGACGGUAGGUCCGUAUGCCCCGAAUGCACUGGGCCACACGCGACGCACAAUGCGUGCCACAAUGGGAUGCAACUCCGAAAGGAGAAGCGAAACCCCUAAAAGCACGCUCAGUUCAGAUCGAGGGCUGUAACUCGUCCUCGUGAAGCCGGAAUCCCUAGUAAGCGAACGUCAUCAUCGUUCGCUGAAUAAGUCCCUGCUCCU
rnacentral:rRNA from 1 species